rnacentral:lncRNA from 1 species
UUGGUGAGUAGAAAUGAAUAGGAUUUGUUUGGAUGUAAAAGGUAAGGUUUCUACUUUAUGUGAAGAAGAUGAUAACGUUUCUACUGAACAAAAAUAGAAGUCCAUUCCUUUUCAUUUUUUGUGUAUUUUGAAUAUAAGAUGAGAUCUUGAAAGAAGAGUGAAUAACUUUUCACGGGCAAAUUGAAAGUGAGAGAGUCUUAGGCAUUGUUUUAUGGUUAUCAGAAAAAAUGUUUUUUUUUAUGGUGGUUUACGGGGGUGAAUAG